rnacentral:lncRNA from 1 species
GUUGAAAUAUGUUUGGUUCAUUUGUCUCAGAUUUCACUGGAGAAAGCAAAAUGUUAAGUUAUGCGCGAUUAUUGGGCUCUGAAGUCCAUACUAUGAAAAAUGAAAAACUGAGUUUCGAUUAAAAUGUAGCAUGCCUCUUUUUUGCCAUCUAUUUCUUCAGCUGGAGUGUUAGCCCAAUGGGGUGAUGGUUUUACCUAAAGGAUUUCAAAGCAAUCAGAACAUCCACUCAUGUUGGAUUGGUAAAUUCCAUAGAUUAAAACAACUCUGGCUAUUUAAUGAACUGCUUUUUGUUUGAAUUACCUGCCCAGCGCCCAGCUAAUUCUGCUGAAUGGCUGACAGGGUCUCACUAUGUUACCCAAGCUGGUCUCAAACUCCUGGCCUCAAGCAGUUCUCUCAAGUAGCUGGUAUUACUGGUGAGAGCUACCACACCCAGGUAGAAAACUAAAAGUUUUCAUAACUCUGUUGGCAACAAAACCUGACCUGAACUGAGAAAACCUACAACAAAUACACGGUGCUGAGAUUAUCACCAGCAAUAUCCCAGAACUCAAAUAUGAAGAUGGAACAGUGCCCGUGGCAACAAAGAAGUAAAAAACUUCAAGCAGACGCUGUAAGAAUCAGACUUCCAAAUCCGUGACAUCCCUCUCCCAAAUCUGCCUAGCACCAAGCAUGUGGAAAACUUCCCCCACCUCACCGCCAGUUUCUACACUGGAAAAAGUGAGAUUGAAGUGGAUAACCAGUUUCCCCACCAUCUUGGAUUCCCUGGCAAGAGAUCUGUCCCUAAGUACUUAAAGGGAGAAAUAUUCCCAAAGACAACCAGAGAAAAAGUGGGGAGGUGGGACUUCCUUCCCCAACCCUAGAAACACUCUUCUUUAACUCAGCCAAAGGAGACGCCAAAUCAGCGAAGCUGGUCAGCAGCGACACACCAUAGGAGGUAUGUUCCACAGGUUCCCUGAGCACGAAAUUCUAGCCAGACUUCCCACCCUAUUGGGAUAUCCCCCGUAAGACCUUCUACAUUUGGGUCCGGCAGUGCUCCAGUCAUUUACUAGGGCCAAGGAAAACCUGGACUGCAGACUCCAUGUGAUGUCAGAAAGAAGGCAAGACCAAGAGGGCGAAAAAAAAGUAGAUGCUGUCAUGCUUUCUGUACAGCCUGCAGAACCAUGAGCUAAGUAAACCUCUUUUCUUUAUAA